rnacentral:lncRNA from 1 species
CGCUGCCCAUUUAGUCUUUUUCGUGAACCUGUGCUGCCCUCUAAGGAUAUCGUACUGCGCUGCCCUCGAGGAUUACCGCCAUGCCUGUUAAUUCCCCGAUCCCCCUGUCUUGGCCUGUGGGUUGCGCAGCUCCAGUUGGUCUUGCCUGCGCAGGCAAAGGGCAUACAUUAUCAGGAAUUUCUUGAAAAAUGAUGCUGCGCUGGAAAUACAUAGAGAGAUAUAGCAGCGCUGCCCUGAGACAUCUUAUAUUUAGUCCAUUCUUUCAACCUGUGAGGAUCACACAUUGAUCUUAUUAAUCCCAUUAAUCAUACAUAUCACAUGGUUUAGAGUUGAAAUUUAAUCCAAGAAUAUUGAAUAUAAAAUAUAUGAAGCUUGAGACAUCAAGCUCUUCUCUUGUCGAAUCUCCUUGGCUAUUAAGACAGCGCUAAGCGGGCCUGCAUAUGCUUGUUGAACGACAUCUCUGCUCCAAAAUUAGAAACAACGGUGACAGCGCUGCCCUUCGAGCUGCUUUACUUGAGUGGCCGUGACUCUUUCAAUUAUGACUUUCGACAUCCAUGCUGGAAAGUUUUCUUCAGUACCGACCAUGUCCGCGCCGAAUCAAUGCUGAAAAACUUAGCUCGAAGUCAAAAUAACAGACAACAUGUUCACAGAAAAAUGGAUCGACUGAAAACACCCAUUCUAAUCUAAUAAUCCUAGCAAAUUGAAAGCAAGAACGCAGCAAAAUUAGUCCCAAUAUUAAUCCCCAAAAUUAGAGUAGAAUCAUAGUACUAUCUGAUAAUGCUGUAAGACUCUCAAUCAAAGUUAAUCCAAUUUUGUAAUAUUCGAGUUAGAGUAAAGGAAUCAAAGACUUAGCUUCAUUCUUUUUUCCCGCAAUUCGGAAUUGAUAACAAGUAGUGAUUAAUAUAAACUUUUCGAGCAAGCCUCUCUGGAAGCAAAGUGUCAUUCUCAAUCCUUGAGUAACAUUUCAGUGCUGAAUGGUUAGCUGCGCUGCCUCGGUAUCUUCACCAGGAGCUUGGUCAGGACGAUAGAGCUGGCUGCGCAGCUGCGCUCCCUCGGUAUCUUUGCCGGGAAUUCGAUUAGGAUGGCCGAGCUGGCG